UCUAUCAUCUUUGUACCUCGAAUUUGGAAAUAUCCGUAUAAAUAAUUUUCAUAUCGCGCAUCCAUAUGUUUGUUGAUAUGAUAUGAUAUUUUACAUAUUGCAUUCAUUGUGUAUUCAGAGUUCAAUAAUUUAAGAUCAAGUAUUUUAAGAGUUGGUUAUUAAAUUUAAAGAUAAAAAAAAUAUAAUAUUUCCUUCAUGGUCAGCUAUUUACAAUUGGAGAGUUGUCAACUGCGGUAUUGAAGCUAUUAGCUAUUUCUUCAACGAUCAUACCGAGGAGGUUAUUUAUCAAGAAUUCCUGCUCCUUCUGCGAGUAAUAAGCCAUUCCAGAGUAUAUUGAAGAAUUAUCUAUUGUGACCUGACGAGAUCUUAUCUGCAACAUCUGCCGUAUAUCAACAUGGAAAGAGAUGAGUAAAAACUAUAUUUGUAAACAUUGAGGAUAUUAUUUUUUCGCAACAUUUUAAAUUUGUCUCUGUGUUUUGAAAUGAUCUCAUUUAUCUGGUAUAAUAUCUACCUCAGUCCUACUUUUUGUGAUAUUUAUACCAGGUUAUCUAAUCAUGUUUGAAUUGUUUUCGAGAAAUUGGUAACAGAUACGACAAAACUAAAGAAAACAAAAAAGGGUAGUACUGGACCAAAGUUUCAUUCAACAUUUUUCUGAAAUACAGUGGUCCUCCAAAAAAAAAAGAACUCUGUUCAAAAGUAGAAUAUCACAUGAUGAAAACUUUUUAUUGAAAAAUCUAUGCCAAAUUGUAGUUAAACAUUUUAUGAAAGUAGAAUACUAUUAAAAAAAUACCUGAAAAAAAAAACAAAUGUGAGCACCACGCAUCUUAAAAACAGAACGUUUGCGGGAUCAUGUUUAUAGCUCUUUAUUUUCGUAAAAUGAUACGGGAAAACUGUUAUUUUCGUUUUCACCUCCAAUUCAAGAACAGCCUGUAGAUAUAAUUAAAGAAAAUUCAAGGAGUUAGGAACACAAGAUUGCAUAAUACUAUAUGCGAAUACUCUAUUAGAAAUACCUACUAGCUUAAGAUUUCGAAGAAAGUUCAUAUAAAUAAAUCGAUAAAAACAAAAAUACAGAAUAACCCAGUAAAUCAUAUUCAAAAUGAUAUUCAAAUAGGUACACAUUUCUCCGAAUCUAAGACAAUUAUGCAAAUAAAAUAAUCAGUUGUUAACUACUGUCAAUAAUGUAACACUUACCACAUCUUUUUUAUUCAUUGAUAUAUCAUGUUUAAAUGGAAUGAAUUUAAGAAAUUUCAAGCCUUUUAUGGAUUCAUUUCGCGCUGUGAAUGAUAAUACAAACUUGUUAGAUGUCGUCAAAUUAAUAAUUAAAGAAAUAUUUCACUGAGCAAGAUCUUCCAAUAAUAUAUAAUUUGACAUUUGUAAUUGAAUCCUUGAAGAAGCAUAUCAAAAAACAUAUCAAUAAGAAAAUUAUAAUAAUAUAAAAUGAUCAGGAAACGCAAUUCUCAACUUUGUUUCUCUGACAAUAUCUGAUGCGGAAUUCAUAAUUAUCCGCAACAUAAUUCUACAUUGGUUAAAUGAAGUGAUUUUCAGUUGUUAACAGAGUAUUUGCUAGUCCUGUAUGUAACGGAAGCAGUACUCCGAGAUUUAACAUACCUCCAUCAUUUUUUAUGGGGAUAAGGAUGCAUUCAGAUACAUUUGAUUCUUCAAUUCCAUUUUAUAUAGGCUCAUUUCAAUUGUUCCUUCGUAUUUGAUUCCAUUUGGUUUUUCAUAAAAUGGAAUACAGAUGGAAUGAAAGUAACUCUAGAUAUAACAUAAAUUCAUAAAAUCUGCCAUAACUUUUGAAUUAUUGAAUGUAAGCGCAUAGUCAUGUUUGAACACUACCCUUAUUUUUCUCGUAAGUAAUAUCAUGAAAGUAUCUAACCUUUUUUGAAAACAAUCACAAAAACAACCAAGUAAUAUUAAAUAAUAUUGAUAAUGGUAAUACAAAAAGCUUGAGUGCUGGUAGCAACAAAAAUCCGAGUCGUGUUUUUUUUUCGAUUUUUUUCACAUGGAAAAUAAAAUGCUCGACAAGACUUAUUUCAUCAUACCAUAAUUACUUAGUAUUGUUAUUUUUCUCCG